AUUGAACGCUGGCGGCAUGCCUUACACAUGCAAGUCGAACGGCAGCGCGGACUUCGGUCUGGCGGCGAGUGGCGAACGGGUGAGUAAUGUAUCGGAACGUACCAUUCAGUGGGGGAUAACGCAGCGAAAGUUGCGCUAAUACCGCAUAUUCUGUGCGCAGGAAAGCAGGGGAUCGCAAGACCUUGCGCUGAUUGAGCGGCCGAUAUCAGGUUAGCUAGUUGGUGAGGUAAAGGCUCACCAAGGCGACGAUCUGUAGCGGGUCUGAGAGGAUGAUCCGCCACGCUGGAACUGAGACACGGUCCAGACUCCUACGGGAGGCAGCAGUGGGGAAUUUUGGACAAUGGGCGCAAGCCUGAUCCAGCCAUGCCGCGUGAGUGAAGAAGGCCUUCGGGUUGUAAAGCUCUUUCGGCCGGGAAGAAAUCGUAUGGGUUAAUACCCUGUGCGGAUGACGGUACCGGCAUAAGAAGCACCGGCUAACUACGUGCCAGCAGCCGCCGUAAGAC
rnacentral:rRNA from 1 species